GGAGUCCGAGGAUAGAGGAAGUCGGGGCAACCCGGCUGGGCGUGAAAUUCCAC
rfam:Natronorubrum sulfidifaciens JCM 14089 contig_25, whole genome shotgun sequence.